rnacentral:rRNA from 1 species
AGUGGGGAAUAUUGCACAAUGGGCGCAAGCCUGAUGCAGCCAUGCCGCGUGUGUGAAGAAGGCCUUCGGGUUGUAAAGCACUUUCAGCAGUGAGGAAAGGGUAGGUGUUAAUACCACCUAUCUGUGACGUUAACUGCAGAAGAAGCACCGGCUAACUCCGUGCCAGCAGCCGCGGUAAUACGGAGGGUGCGAGCGUUAAUCGGAAUUACUGGGCGUAAAGCGCAUGCAGGCGGUUGCGUAAGCCAGAUGUGAAAGCCCGGGGCUUAACCUCGGAAUAGCAUUUGGAACUGCGUAACUAGAGUCUUGUAGAGGGGGGUAGAAUUUCAGGUGUAGCGGUGAAAUGCGUAGAGAUCUGAAGGAAUACCAGUGGCGAAGGCGGCCCCCUGGACAAAGACUGACGCUCAGAUGCGAAAGCGUGGGUAGCAAA